AUGUGGAUCUCGCAGGAUGUUGAUGUCCACUUGGGUCCAUUGAUCGAACGUGUAGUUGGAGCCCUGGAUCGCUUGGUCGACCUUCAAAAAGCUGCCGCCAAGGAAAGAGCACGACCCGUGCUUGCACGCUUGAGGUUGCGCUAUCCUGAGGUUUCCAUUCAUGUUGUUGCGACCUCCGUUCCUGAGAACCGCCGACUGACAAAUUUCUUUGAAGUCGAGGACACCGCCUUGAUGGUGGCGACUGGAUGUGAACCUGAAAGAGUAGGAACAUUUGUUAGCUGUGUGUGGCGUUGGGCAAUGUCAACUUUGUUACAAUUUUUAUUUUUCAACUUUUGUAGUUUGAAUUCUUGGUUGAUGCCUUUGGGCAAAGUUUUGACUGACUGA
rnacentral:rRNA from 1 species